UACGAAGGGGGCGAGCGUUGUUCGGAAUCACUGGGCGUAAAGGGCGCGUAGGCGGCCCUCCUUGUCGCGUGUGAAAGCCCCGGGCUCAACCUGGGAACGGCGCGCGAGACGGGGGGGCUGGAGUUCGGGAGAGGAGCGUGGAAUUCCCAGUGUAGCGGUGAAAUGCGUAGAUAUUGGGAAGAACACCUGAGGCGAAGGCGGGAUGCUGGGCCGACACUGACGCUGAGGCGCGAAAGCCAGGGGAGCAAACGGG
rnacentral:rRNA from 1 species